rnacentral:lncRNA from 1 species
AAUUGAUGCUUCUAAUUUUUUAGCCCUCGAAUCAAACACUGUAGGAUUCAGAUGAUAGUGAUUUUUUUUAGGAUUAAAUGAUUUUCUUAAAUUCUAGUGGUCCUAUAAAAAAAUAAUGUUAAUCUAAGAAUUAAAAAUGAUCAAAGGAAUUGAUUCAAGAAUUAAAAACUGAGAAAUGUCAACUACUUAAUACUUUCGGAAGCACUAUAGUGGAACUCUAUAUUUGAAUAUCCACAUCAUUUACCGACCGUCUCUAGCACAAGUGGCAAGAGGGCUUGGUGGUUCGUAUUUGAGACCCAAGUUCGAAUUCUAGUUGAUUCACAUUUCUAGCUAAGUUUAUUUCUAAAUGACAUAAACAAAGCGGAUACUAGCAUGCUACAUUUCUCUCUCAAAAAAAGAAAAAAGAAUAUCCACAUCAUUUAAUUUAAAAUCUCCGGGCUCACAACAAGUGUUUUUUAAUCCAAAAACAUAUUAGGCGGUGUUUGGAUUGGGGAUAAGGGCGAGGGAUAACCCCUUAUCCCUUUUAUACCCAAACGCAAAUUUAAUAGUAAUUUUUGGUUACCUAAAAUAACUUGAUAUAACUAUUUUGCACAAACACCUCUAUUUUUUAUAUAUAACUACUCACUAUUUUUUUUAUUCUAUAUUAUUUAUUCAAAUGUUAUUUUUUUUAUUCUCGAAAAUAACUUAAUUUUUAUUCAAACGUUAUUUUUCUUAUUCUUCAUACUUAUAUCUAUUUUUGUAAUAAUUAAUUUUUUUUUUAUACCCGAGCCAAACGCUACAUCCUACUUUU